UACGUAGGGACCAAGCGUUGUUCGGAUUUACUGGGCGUAAAGGGCGCGUAGGCGGCAAUUCAAGUCAUCUGUGAAAUCUCCGGGCUUAACUCGGAACGGUCAGAUGAUACUGCUUUGCUAGAGUGCGGAAGGGGCAAUCGGAAUUCUUGGUGUAGCGGUGAAAUGCGUAGAUAUCAAGAGGAACACCUGAGGUGAAGGCGGUUCUCUGGGCAUUACCUGACGCUGAGGAGCGAAAGUGUGGGGAGCGAACAGG
rnacentral:rRNA from 1 species